rnacentral:rRNA from 1 species
UAAGUGAAGAGUUUGAUCCUGGCUCAGAGUGAACGCUGGCGGCAGGCCUAACACAUGCAAGUCGAGCGGUAACAGGAGAGAGCUUGCUCUCUUGCUGACGAGCGGCGGACGGGUGAGUAAGGCAUCGGAAUCUGCCCUGACGUGGGGGAUAACGUAGGGAAACUUACGCUAAUACCGCAUACGUCCUACGGGAGAAAGCGGGGGAUCGCAAGACCUCGCGCGGCAGGAUGAGCCGAUGUUCGAUUAGCUAGUUGGAGGGGUAAAGGCCCACCAAGGCGACGAUCGAUAGCCGGUCUGAGAGGAUGAUCGGCCACACUGGGACUGAGACACGGCCCAGACUCCUACGGGAGGCAGCAGUGGGGAGUUUUGGACAAUGGGCGAAAGCCUGAUCCAGCCAUGCCGCGUGAGUGAAGAAGGCCUUCGGGUUGUAAAGCUCUUUCAGGUGGAAAGAAAGCGGAUGGGCUAAUACCCUGUUCGG